rnacentral:rRNA from 1 species
GAUGAACGCUGGCGGCGUGCCUAAUACAUGCAAGUCGAGCGAACAGACGAGGAGCUUGCUCCUCUGACGUUAGCGGCGGACGGGUGAGUAACACGUGGAUAACCUACCUAUAAGACUUGGAUAACUUCGGGAAACCGGAGCUAAUACCGGAUAAUAUAUUGAACCGCUUGGUUCAAUAGUGAAAGACGGUUUUGCUGUCACUUAUAGAUGGAUCCGCGCCGCAUUAGCUAGUUGGUAAGGUAACGGCUUACCAAGGCAACGAUGCGUAGCCGACCAGAGAUGGUGAUCGGCCACACUGGAACGGAGACACGGUCCAGACUCCUACGGGAGGCAGCAGUAGGGAAUCUUCCGCAAUGGGCGAAAGCCUGACGGAGCAACGCCGCGUGAGUGAUGAAGGUCUUCGGAUCGUAAAACUCUGUUAUUAGGGAAGAACAAAUGUGUAAGUAACUAUGCACGUCUUGACGGUACCUAAUCAGAGAGCCACGGCUAACUACGUG